AGGGAGCAGCAGAAAACACAGAUGGAGACCGAGGCUGGAGGGUGAGGCUGGAGGAGCAGAGGCCCUCUGCCUGUGAGGAGGCACGCGAGGAGAUAGCCUACUCCUGGGAGAGGCAGGACCACGAGAAAGCCCCGCCCCGAGGUGCAGGGACACGGACUGAGGUCGAAAGCCAGCAGCAGAGAGGCCCUCUGCCCCCAUCCUGGUGCCCCAGCCCAGCCCAGGCCAGGUCCAGUCACAGCUGUCCUCUCCUGGGGCAGGCUUAUUGAGAAAUCCCCAUAACAAGAAGGAUGAGACUGAGAGCCCAGAGUUGACAUGUGUGACACAGUUGUCAACCCUGGGGGCCUGGGAUCUCUGAAUCGGCAGCGGAAGCGUGUGGAUGAGCCCCCAGGGAUUUCUGAAUGGAGAUGGGAGCAGAGAGAGCUGGAGGAAGAAGAAAAGGGACCGGUUUUGGCUCCACCAAGAUGGCAGUGGGCUCCCCCCGCCCAGCUGUCAGAAGCAGCCACAAGAUGCCUGCCCCAAGGAUUCCAGGGAUCGGCUCCUAGAGGCCCUGCCCUCUUUCUCCAUCCUGGCCAGCACAUUCCUGCUCUUUCAUAAACACACUUGGAGUUUUGGAAACCAGUUCCAACCACCCCCAGCCCAGGACCUCACAAGAGGUAGACCACCCAUGGGUGUUAAACUAGGGUGAAGGGAGCAGCAGUGAAGGAGCCCCUCUUGUGAAACCUUCCGUGUCAUCUGCUUGGCAAGCCCAGGUGGAAAUGGCAUCUGAUCGGCCUUGCUCCUUGCUGGCAAGCCUUCCCAUUCACCUUGCAGGGGAGACAGUCAUGUCUGCAGGUCUGAGCUCAGGAACCCUCAGAUCUUUAGGAUAAGGAACAGAUUGGUGUCUCUCAGCCUAAGGUCUGUGAUGACAUGGUCUUUCCAGCUGACCUGUACUCUUGUGCCUUCUCUGCUGUGAUGCCCUGUUUCACCGCUGUGCUAUGCUCGUGUCCAACUCUUUGGGACCCCAUGGACUGUAACCCACAGGCUCCUCUGUCCAUGGGAUUCUCCAGGCAAGAAUUCUAGAGUGGGUUGCUGUCUCCUUCUCCAGGAGAUCUUCCCAACCCAGGGAUCAAACCAGAGUCUCUUGCGUCUCCUGCAUUGCCAGCCAGACUCUUUAUCAUGGCAUCACCUGGGAAGCCCCCCUGUUUCACUAAAGCUCUGUGUUUUCUUGGGCGGGUUCCAUAGCUCGGUGGGUUAUUUUCCCUGUCAGAAGUGUCUCAUUUUGUGGUAUAAAGGCCCAAAGGUCUAAAUUGUAACCUCAGUCUCUCAUCCACUAAAAGGCUUCUCCGUGGACCUUCCCCUGCCCCCAACCUUUCACUCUUGGCUGAGGCCUGGCUUGUGGAGUGGGAGGUGGUUAAUGUAUUCACCCAUAGGAUGGAUGGACGCCCACGAUCCUGCUAUUUGUUUUCAACUUGUCCCAUCUGUUCCCUUGUUCCCUUUUCCUGCUUUCUUUUAGAUUAUUUUUUAUGAUCCCAUUCUAUCUCUGCAAUUGUCUUCCUGGCUGGUAUGGACUGAAUGGUGUCCCCUCAAAAUUGACAUGUUGAAGCCCUCACCCCCAGUGUGAUGAUGGUGUUAGGAGGUGGAGGCUUUGGGAGGUGAAGAGGGUUAGGUGAGGUCAGGAGGGUGGGGCCCUCGUGGUGGGAUUAGUGAUUUAAUGAGUAAAGACACCUGAGAGCUUGCUCUUAGCCUCUCUCUACCAUGUGAGGACUUAUCAAGAAGUCGGCACCUGGGGCCUUCCCACGACUCACGUUUCCUGUGUUGGCAGGUGGGUUCUUUACCUCUAGGGCCAGCUGGGAAGCCUCCAUCAUUUCACUCUCUCUCUCUC
ensembl:lncRNA